CGAAAAUAUGCCUAAGUGAGUUCAGUAGCUCCCGCUAGAGGCGCCGUAAUAAGCUCAAUUUUAACCUACAAACUUUCUCCUGCGCUUAUCGAAGCGUUUUUGUUAAUUAACAAAGAGUACAAAAUUAUUAUUCUUAAUUAGAGAUUGUACUACUGAGCACUAACUCUGUUCUUUUUUUGCCAUUGUAAACGCAAAAUAACGCUCAGCAUCAUCGAUCUCUCACGUGACCUCUGGCCUGAAUUUAAAAUUUUUACCGGUAUUUUGGCGUACACGGCAAGCAUGGAUUCAUUGGUUCGUACACUUAUGCUGGUUGCUUAUUUUGUGCUAAAACCAGUUUAUUGCGCUUCGACACCUCGCUUUAUUUAGCUUGGGGUGAAGUGACGGGUUUGCUAGCGGAGAUGUAAGCCCGAAAGCUAGGUUUGAUCGUGAGCCAUGCGGAACAAGUAUGCAUCGAAACGGGAGCCGGAUUCUGCUGCGACUGAGGAUGGCAAUACCGACAUGCAGUAAAGAGGAUGGCACCAGUGUAAAGCAACACACUCCACACACCAAAGACAAGCUACUUCCUGCUACAACAAGGCCAUUGUGUGGGCUUUGGCUGUUACUACAAGAAUCUGCACCAAGCACACCAUGGUCCUCAUCACAGGAGCCCCCAUCUACCCUGACAGGAAGGGGCUGGAGCCGAAUUCACAAGUAUUUUACACCACAAACAAAGAAGCGGACGCAGAAGUAUUUAGAUGAAAUAUCAAGUCUACGGAGGACUGUGU